AGGACGAACGCUGGCGGCGUGCUUAAUACAUGCAAGUCGAACGGAGCUUAGCUGAUAGUUACUAGAGGCGAAAGCUUAGUGGCGGACGGGUGAGUAACGCGUCGGGUAAUCUGCCCCUAAGUCCCGGGAUAACAGAGCGAAAGUUCUGCUAAGACCGGAUACUCUUUACCAGUUGCAUAACGGGUAAAGGAAAGGUAACGCUUAGGGAUGAGCCCGCGUCCCCAUUAGCUAGUUGGUGAGGUAACGGCCCCACCAAGGCGACCGAUGGGUAGCCGGCCUGAGAGGGUGGACGGCCACACUGGGACUGAGACACGGCCCAGACUCCUACGGGAGGCAGCAGUAGGGAAUUUUCCGCAAUGGGCGCAAAGCCUGACGGAGCAACGCCGCGUGAGGGACGAAGGUCUUCGGAUCGUAAACCUUUGUCAUCGAGGACGAUAAUGACAGUACUCGAGGAGGAAGCCCCGGCUAACUACGUGCCAGCCGCGGC
rnacentral:rRNA from 1 species